rnacentral:tRNA from 1 species
GCACCCGUAGCUCAGCUGGAUAGAGCAUCUGAUUGCGGUUCAGAAGGUCGAGCGUUCGAAUCGCUCCGGGUGCGCCA